GCCUCGGUGGUGUAGUGGUCAAGGCACUCGCCUGGUAAUUAGGAGGGCGUGGGUUCAAUCCCAACCGAGGCA
rnacentral:tRNA from 1 species